rnacentral:rRNA from 1 species
GAUGAACGCUGGCGGCGUGCUUAACACAUGCAAGUCGAACGAUGAAGCCCAGCUUGCUGGGUGGAUUAGUGGCGAACGGGUGAGUAACACGUGAGUAACCUGCCCUUAACUCUGGGAUAAGCCUGGGAAACUGGGUCUAAUACCGGAUAGGAGCGUCCACCGCAUGGUGGGUGUUGGAAAGAUUUAUCGGUUUUGGAUGGACUCGCGGCCUAUCAGCUUGUUGGUGAGGUAAUGGCUCACCAAGGCGACGACGGGUAGCCGGCCUGAGAGGGUGACCGGCCACACUGGGACUGAGACACGGCCCAGACUCCUACGGGAGGCAGCAGUGGGGAAUAUUGCACAAUGGGCGAAAGCCUGAUGCAGCGACGCCGCGUGAGGGAUGACGGCCUUCGGGUUGUAAACCUCUUUCAGUAGGGAAGAAGCGAAAGUGACGGUACCUGCAGAAGAAGCACCGGCUAACUACGUGCCAGCAGCCGCGGUAAUACGUAGGGUGCGAGCGUUAUCCGGAAUUAUUGGGCGUAAAGAGCUCGUAGCGGUUUGUCGCGUCUGUCGUGAAAGUCCGGGGCUUAACCCCGGAUCUGCGGUGGGUACGGGCAGACUAGAGUGCAGUAGGGGAGACUGGAAUUCCUGGUGUAGCGGUGGAAUGCGCAGAUAUCAGGAGGAACACCGAUGGCGAAGGCAGGUCUCUGGGCUGUAACUGACGCUGAGGAGCGAAAGCAUGGGGAGCGAACAGGAUUAGAUACCCUGGUAGUCCAUGCCGUAAACGUUGGGCACUAGGUGUGGGGACCAUUCCACGGUUUCCGCGCCGCAGCUAACGCAUUAAGUGCCCCGCCUGGGGAGUACGGCCGCAAGGCUAAAACUCAAAGGAAUUGACGGGGGCCCGCACAAGCGGCGGAGCAUGCGGAUUAAUUCGAUGCAACGCGAAGAACCUUACCAAGGCUUGACAUGUUCUCGAUCGCCGUAGAGAUACGGUUUCCCCUUUGGGGCGGGUUCACAGGUGGUGCAUGGUUGUCGUCAGCUCGUGUCGUGAGAUGUUGGGUUAAGUCCCGCAACGAGCGCAACCCUCGUUCCAUGUUGCCAGCACGUAAUGGUGGGGACUCAUGGGAGACUGCCGGGGUCAACUCGGAGGAAGGUGAGGACGACGUCAAAUCAUCAUGCCCCUUAUGUCUUGGGCUUCACGCAUGCUACAAUGGCCGGUACAAUGGGUUGCGACACUGUGAGGUGGAGCUAAUCCCAAAAAGCCGGUCUCAGUUCGGAUUGGGGUCUGCAACUCGACCCCAUGAAGUCGGAGUCGCUAGUAAUCGCAGAUCAGCAACGCUGCGGUGAAUACGUUCCCGGGCCU